rnacentral:rRNA from 1 species
CACGUAGAUGGCUUUGUAAGUCGGAUGUGAAAUCCCCGGGCUCAACCUGGGAACUGCAUUCGAAACUGCAUUGCUCGAAUGUGGAAGAGGGAAGCGGAAUUCCAGGUGUAGCGGUGAAAUGCGUAGAUAUCUGGAGGAACAUCAGUGGCGAAGGCGGCUUCCUGGUCCAACAUUGACAUUCAGGUGCGAAAGCGUGGGGAGCAAACAGGAUUAGAUACCCUGGUAGUCCACGCCAUAAACGAUGAGAACUAGAUGUCGGGAGGGUUAGCCUUCCGGUGUCGCAGCUAACGCGUUAAGUUCUCCGCCUGGGAGUACGGCCGCAAGGUUGAA